rnacentral:rRNA from 1 species
UUUUAGUUUGAUCCUGGCUCAGGUUGGAACACCUCCUUAGAGUUUGAUCAUGGCUCAGAUUGAACUGGCGGCAGGCCUAACACAUGCAAGUCGAACGGUAACAGGAAGCAGCUUGCUGCUUCGCUGACGAGUGGCGGACGGGUGAGUAAUGUCUGGGAAACUGCCUGAUGGAGGGGGAUAACUACUGGAAACGACUAAUACCUUCACAAGGGGGACCUUCGAGGCACUCUA